rnacentral:lncRNA from 1 species
CUUGGAUCCCAGAAAUUCAGAUGGCAACGUCGACAUCAAGAAAAUUGGGAGAUCAACUUUGGAUCUACAUGGAAAGAGGACCUGCAGGGUUAUUUAAAUGGGAGGAAUUAAGGAUUGGAACCAGGAAGAGGGAAGACUGGGAGGAUUACAAUGAGGAAAACACAACAGAACCAGUGUCAGCUUCUGUUUCUCAGUAUCAUCUUACUCCCAGUUUCAUCAUUCUGGGCCAGAGGACUCACGCUGCCAUCUGAUGCCUGAGUGAAGUGGGCCGAUAGAAUGAACACCUGGGGAUGGAGCAGCAUGCAUGUCACUUGAGGUAAUCCGGAUACCCAGAAUCAAACAAAACAGGC